GAUGAACGCUGGCGGCGUGCCUAAUACAUGCAAGUCGAGCGAACAGACGAGGAGCUUGCUCCUCUGACGUUAGCGGCGGACGGGUGAGUAACACGUGGAUAACCUACCUAUAAGACUGGGAUAACUUCGGGAAACCGGAGCUAAUACCGGAUAAUAUAUUGAACCGCAUGGUUCAAUAGUGAAAGACGGUUUUGCUGUCACUUAUAGAUGGAUCCGCGCCGCAUUAGCUAGUUGGUAAGGUAACGGCUUACCAAGGCAACGAUGCGUAUCCGACCUGAGAGGGUGAUCGGCCACACUGGAACUGAGACACGGUCCAGACGCCUACGGGAGGCAGCAGUAGGGAAUCUUCCGCAAUGGGCGAAAGCCUGACGGAGCAACGCCGCGUGAGUGAUGAAGGUCUUCGGAUCGUAAAACUCUGUUAUUAGGGAAGAACAAAUGUGUAAGUAACUAUGCACGUCUUGACGGUACCUAAUCAGAAAGCCACGGCUAACUACGUG
rnacentral:rRNA from 1 species